rnacentral:rRNA from 1 species
GACGAACGCUGGCGGCGUGCCUAAUACAUGCAAGUCGAACGCAGUGGGGACGGGUGAGUAACACGUGGGUAACCUCCCAUCAGAGGGGAUAACACUUGGAAUCCGGUGCUAAACCGAUACGAGUGGCUGGACCCUGGGGGCAUGAGCUAGGUGGUGAGGUAACGGCUCACCAAGGCCACGAUGCAUAGCCGACCUGAGAGGAGGAUCGGCCACACUGGGACUGAGACACGGCCCAGACUCCUACGGGAGGCAGCAGUAGGGAAUCUUCGGCAAUGGACGAAAGUCUGACCGAGCAACGCCGCGUGAGUGAAGAAGGUUUUAGGAUCGUAAAACUCUGUUGUUAGAGAAGCGGUAUCUAACCAGAAAGCAACGGCUAACUACGUGCCAGCAGCCGCGGUAAUUC